rnacentral:rRNA from 1 species
AGGACGAACGCUGGCGGCGUGCCUAAUACAUGCAAGUCGAGCGGAAAUUUAUGGUGCUUGCACCUUUAAAAUUUAGCGGCGGACGGGUGAGUAACACGUGGGUAACCUACCUUAUAGAUUGGGAUAACUCCGGGAAACCGGGGCUAAUACCGAAUAAUACUUUUUAACACAUGUUUGAAAGUUGAAAGACGGUUUCGGCUGUCACUAUAAGAUGGACCCGCGGCGCAUUAGCUAGUUGGUGAGGUAACGGCUCACCAAGGCAACGAUGCGUAGCCGACCUGAGAGGGUGAUCGGCCACACUGGGACUGAGACACGGCCCAGACUCCUACGGGAGGCAGCAGUAGGGAAUCUUCCACAAUGGACGAAAGUCUGAUGGAGCAACGCCGCGUGAGUGAAGAAGGAUUUCGGUUCGUAAAACUCUGUUGCAAGGGAAGAACAAGUAGCGUAGUAACUGGCGCUACCUUGACGGUACCUUGUUAGAAAGCCACGGCUAACUACGUGCCAGCCGCCGC